rnacentral:snRNA from 1 species
GUGUUCGCUUCGGCAGCACAUAUACUAAAAUUGGAACGAUAUAGAGAAGAUUAGCAUGGCCCCUGCACAAGGAUGACAUGCAAAUUCGUGAAGUGUUCCAUAUUUAA